rnacentral:rRNA from 1 species
GACGAACGCUGGCGGCGUGCUUAACACAUGCAAGUCGAACGGAAAGGCCCUGCUUUUGUGGGGUGCUCGAGUGGCGAACGGGUGAGUAACACGUGAGUAACCUGCCCUUGACUUUGGGAUAACUUCAGGAAACUGGGGCUAAUACCGGAUAGGAGCUCCUGCUGCAUGGUGGGGGUUGGAAAGUUUCGGCGGUUGGGGAUGGACUCGCGGCUUAUCAGCUUGUUGGUGGGGUAGUGGCUUACCAAGGCUUUGACGGGUAGCCGGCCUGAGAGGGUGACCGGCCACAUUGGGACUGAGAUACGGCCCAGACUCGUAAGGGAGGCAGCAGUGGGGAAUAUUGCACAAUGGGCGGAAGCCUGAUGCAGCAACGCCGCGUGCGGGAUGACGGCCUUAGGGUUGUAAACCGCUUUGGCCUGUGACGAAGCGUGAGUGACGGUAAUGGGUAAAGAAGCAACGGCUAACUACGUG